rnacentral:rRNA from 1 species
CAGCAGCCACGGUAAUACGAAGGGUGCAAGCGUUAAUCGGAAUUACUGGGCGUAAAGCGUGCGUAGGCGGUUUGUUAAGUCUGCUGUGAAAUCCCCGGGCUCAACCUGGGAAUGGCAGUGGAUACUGGCAAGCUAGAGUGUGUCAGAGGAUGGUGGAAUUCCCGGUGUAGCGGUGAAAUGCGUAGAGAUCGGGAGGAACAUCAGUGGCGAAGGCGGCCACCUGGGACAACACUGACGCUGAGGCACGAAAGCGUGGGGAGCAAACAGGAUUAGAUACCCCUGUAGUCCCUGUCUCUUAUAC